AAUCUUCAAAUCCUCAGAUCUGAACGCUUAAACUCUUAACAAGAAGAAGACGAAGAAGAAGUUCAGUGACGAUCAAAAAAUGGGUUUGGCAGAAACCCUUUCUUCAUUUGCAUCAAAUCAAGCAUACACACAGUCACUCUCUCUCUCUCUUCACCUCAAAGAGAAAGAAAGAAAUGAAAGAUAAAGAGGAGAAUUGUGGAGAGAGAAAAGAAAUAGAGAAUGCCAGAAUGGUAUGUUUGUGCUUUUGCUU
rnacentral:misc_RNA from 1 species